rnacentral:rRNA from 1 species
UACAGAGGUGGCAAGCGUUGUUCGGAAUUACUGGGCGUAAAGGGCGCGUAGGCGGCCUACUAAGUCAGACGUGAAAUCCCCCGGCUUAACCUGGGAACUGCGUCUGAUACUGGAAGGCUUGAGAAUGGGAGAGGGAUGUAGAAUUCCAGGUGUAGCGGUGAAAUGCGUAGAUAUCUGGAGGAAUACCGGUGGCGAAGGCGGCAUCCUGGACCAUUACUGACGCUGAGGCGCGAAAGCUAGGGGAGCAAACGGG